rnacentral:piRNA from 1 species
UGGGACUGCAGCCUAUCGACGGUACC